UACGAAGGGGGCUAGCGUUGUUCGGAAUUACUGGGCGUAAAGCGCACGUAGGCGGACUUUUAAGUCAGGGGUGAAAUCCCGGGGCUCAACCCCGGAACUGCCUUUGAUACUGGGAGUCUUGAGUGUGGUAGAGGUGAGUGGAAUUGCGAGUGUAGAGGUGAAAUUCGUAGAUAUUCGCAGGAACACCAGUGGCGAAGGCGGCUCACUGGACCACAACUGACGCUGAGGUGACGAAAGCGUGGGGAGCAAACAGG
rnacentral:rRNA from 1 species